CCUGGCACCAGACGUUGGGGGAUCCUAUGUGGAGGAUUCAUCACCCUUCUCUACCUUGUACUUCACAAUUCUCCGUUUACACUUAAAUAUACAUAAACUAACUUCUAUAAAAUCUCAUGAAGUAAUUUCACAAGGUGAUGGUGACAUUAAUGCCAUUGCUGUAUCAGGGGUUAAAUGUAUAUACACAAAAUAAGCUGAAAAGAAUGAAGUAGAAAAUUAGAAUUCAGACAUCAUAAAAAAGUAUCUAGGGUAUUAAUAAUAAAAUUAGCCGUCUUAGCCAGUGAUCCCGCGUCAUAUAAAAUGUCUCCUUUUCUCUACAGGUUGAUCUAAGCAACAAUAAGUUAACGACGGUUGAGCAGUCAUCGUUCAACUGGAACAAAGUCAAGACAAUUGAUCUUCAGGGGAAUCCUUUCGACUGUCGAUGUUCGCUAAAAUGGAUGGUUGACUUUUUGCUUCCAUUCUUAAUGAAGUCUUCCCCAAGCCUGCUGAGCGAUCUGAGUUGCGCGUCACCGGAGGAAUACGAAGGCAAGCGUCUGGUGCACUGGUACAAGCGGCAGGACUUCUGCAACUCGACCCGGAGCAGCCUGGCUAGGGGCCGGAGCAUGCCCUCUUGACCCAGGCGGCGGCGGCUGCCCCCGGGCUGGGGGUGGCCCUCGGGGAGCCCGAGCCAGAAGCCCCCUCCGCGGCGGCCAUCAUCCAAGACCACAAGUUCCUCAUCGCCGGUGUCCUCCUGGCAGCCAUCGUCCUAGUCGUCGUCGCCAUCGGAUGUGUCCUCCUUCGCAAGCACAAGACUCGACGCCGCAAGGAGCAUAUCAAGAGGAACCGCCGGUACCCCGAUAACAAGUUCGGGCUCUGAGCCAAAGGCAAAGACUUAAAGAUGGAGCGAUACGCCUUGUCUCCACGGGACGUUUCAUGGGAUUUUUCCCAAGUUUCGAAUCGCAGAUAUGAACUUCUGGACAUUUCCCCCGUUGAACAACACACCAAUAUGUCUUCUUCUUUUUAAGUCGUUCCAGGGACUCCACAAAGUCCACAAGGACUCUUACUUGGCACUGUGAUUCGUAUUAACUAACUCAAUAUUUUUCCCAACUUCGCAAGACGGAUUUCCCUGGGACAAAUCCCAUGAAACGUCCGUGGAGACAAGGCCCUAGAAGAAGAAAAUGAAGCCACCCUCCUCUUGGUUAGAGCAGCAGAAAAAGUAACUUUAUCUGAGAUUCUCCUUGUUACCAAGCCAAAAUAGGUUUAUUAUAAAAAUUCACAAUCCCAUUUUUAUUUAUUUGUUCGUUUUAGGCAAAUAAAACGAGAUUAGAAGAAGGAAUGUGGAAAAAUCAAGAGGAAAAAUUCAAAUCAAAUUUCCUUCCCGCGGUUGGAUUUACAGCAACUUUAUCUGAGAUUCCUGUAAGAUUCCUGCUUGUUACCAAGCCAAAUAGGUUUUUCAUAAAUAUUUAAGUAUAAUUUAUGACAUUGUCUUCUAUUUUAUUUCCCAUCAAAAACUUAAGUGAGACUUAUUCUUUUCUCAUCCUAAAGAAGAUGAUCAAAACAUCCUGAACGCCAAUUUUCAUACGAAUAGUUGCCAAAAAAUAUUUCGGAGAGUCAUGCAAGAAUCAAAUAUACGAGUGAGGGUAUAUGUCACCAUCUUCUGAGUGACCUACAAUCUAUUUUGAACUCACUGAGUUCUCAUACCAGUUCCUAUAGUCUAACAUUGUUCUAUCUUUUAUUUGUUUUAAUUUAAUUUAUAAUUUUAUACUUGUUUCCUCUUUUGUAUGAUAUACAAAUGAUAAGAUUUUUGUGCCAUAUUACGAGUGUAAAAUAAAUUUUGAAUGAAUACUACAUUUUUUCCGUUUUAAGUUUUGCCAUUUCCAACCUCGUCAAACCAGGCUUGACUGGCACUCUAUUGCUAAAAAGAGGACCCACGGAACGACUAUCGAAAAAAUAUCAUGGAUCGAGUGGCUCUUAUGAGGCAUUUUAAGUAUGUAAGUACUUUCCAUCCCUUUAUUAACUAAAAAUGAGAACAAAAAUUGGACUAUUAAUGCUAAAGGAACUAUGUGCAAGUGGAAAGAUGGGGUGUGCUCGUGAAAGUUGCAUAAGAAACAAUGUAAAAGUGGAUAUAGUUCCUUUUGAGAAAAUGGAAAGCGGGAUUUCAAUUAAAUCAAAAGGAACUGAGCGCUAGCUCGUGAGCCUUGGGCAUGGGACAAUAGCGUUGUGGACAGGGCUCAUGAGUGAAAGACCGCCUUCUCGAUCGUCAUUUCUCUCGUCGUUGCCGCUGACGUCACUGGCGCUUUAUAUUUCCCAUCAUUUUUAUGGCCCGUCCACUAACGAGCACACCCCAUCUUUCCACUUCCACAUAGCUCCAUUUAGCAUGAAUACGUCCAAUUGAAGGAAUAAAUUUCACACGCUUCAUCGUUUCCUCCAGUCAGCAGUGGUUCCAACGCCUACGGUCUUACAUCCCAAUGGACACAUUUGAUCAACCUUAAAAUAAUCAUUACUUUUCAGUUUCUGAAAUUGUAUGCCUUGUACUUGCUACCAAAGAUUGGAGUUCAAUAGAAUAAGUCUUUUCCGGACAGUAAAAUAAAAAG
rnacentral:lncRNA from 1 species